rnacentral:rRNA from 1 species
GUCCUUUUGAAUUUUAUAUAAGGUCUAGUCUGCCCACUGAAAUUUUGUUUUUAAGGGCCGCAGUAUAUUGACUGUGCAAAGGUAGCAUAAUCAUUAGUUUUUUAAUUAAAAGCUUGUAUGAAUGGCUGAAUGAGGUAAAAUCUGUCUCUAUUUAAAUUAAUUUAGAAUUUAAUUUUUAAGUUAAAAAGCUUAAAUUUUAUUAAAAGACGAGAAGACCCUAUAGAUCUUUAUAUUUGUUAUUAAUAAUAUAAUUAAGAAUUUUUAUAAUUUUUUGAUGAUAAAUAUUUUAUUGGGGUAAUAUGAAGAUUAAAAAAAUUCUUUUUUUUUAUAAACAUAAAUUUAUGAAUUUAUGAUCCAAUAUUAUUGAUUAUAAGAUUAAGUUACCUUAGGGAUAACAGCGUAAUUUUUUUAGAGAGUUCUUAUCGAUAAAAAAGUUUGCGACCUCGAUGUUGGAUUAAAGAUUAUUUCAGGUGUAGAAGUUUGAAAAUUUUGGUCUGUUCGACCAUUAAAUCUUUACAUGAUCUGAGUUCAGACCGGCGUAAGCCAGGUCGGUUUCUAUCUUUAAUAAAAAAUUAUAUUUUAGUACGAAAGGACCAAAUAUUUAAUAUAUUUAUAUUUAAUUUUUGAAUAUUAUUAA